UACGUAGGGUGCAAGCGUUGUCCGGAAUUAUUGGGCGUAAAGAGCUCGUAGGUGGCCUGUCGCGUCGGCUGUGAAAACUCGGGGCUCAACUCCGAGCUUGCAGUCGAUACGGGCAGGCUAGAGUUCGGCAGGGGAGACUGGAAUUCCUGGUGUAGCGGUGAAAUGCGCAGAUAUCAGGAGGAACACCGGUGGCGAAGGCGG
rnacentral:rRNA from 1 species